rnacentral:rRNA from 1 species
GACGAACCAAGCAAACGUUGUUCGGAAUCACUGGGCUUAAAGGGCGCGUAGGCGGUCUCUCAAGUCCGGGGUGAAAUCUUUCGGCUCAACCGGAAAAUUGCCUUGGAUACUGUGAGGCUCGAGUGAGGUAGGGGUAACGGGAACAUCCGGUGGAGCGGUGAAAUGCGUAGAUAUCAUCUGGAACGCCAAAGGUGAAAACAGACUGCUGGGAGUGUGCUGACGCUGAGACACGAAAGCUAGGGGAGCGAACAGG